CAGUGACCGCCAAUGGUGAUUAAACUAUUUCUGAUGAAGAUGGUGAUGACGAUGCCCUGGAUUUGGUCCUAAAUGAGCUGGAAGCAAGGUGGUCAAAGACAGAGACCCAAUUACAAGAGUUAGGCGUUUGAUGCUCAAUGGCUAGCUUAAACAUCCUUGCAAAUUCAAAGCCUCCACUUGGAACCUUUUGCUUUAGGCAAUGGCACUCCAUUUGUUGGCACCGUAUUAAUGGUCUUUUACUAGAGAAGGGUCUGCCACUGACAAUAAUGGAAGGCUUAUAUAUUCGAAGGCUGCUCUGUUCUCUUGACGUGUACAAAUAAUAGAGACAUAAGAAAGCAUCAUUUUAUGCUUGUCCCCUUGAAAAGGACUUCCAAAGCUUUUGCAAGCAGCACAGCAGACAACCCUAAUCGCUGUCUUCCUCAGGAGUAAGUAAAGCUGAUAUUGGGCAAAAGAGAAUGUGGAAAGAAACAGCAGAACAAGAUUGAAGAAGAUCUUGCAGUUAACAUUAUGUUCAGAUGGGACUCAGUUUUCAACAAUGCCACAGUUGAUGAACAUGGAGAUGUCUGUUAAAGCUAAACAAAAGUAAAAUAAAAAAUUCGAUCUUUUCUGACGUUGCUUCCUCCAUGCGUCCAUUUGGAUGGACAAUGGACAAGUGAGUUCCAACUCAUAGUAUUAGUAGCUUUGUUGAUUAGAAUAAUAGUAUUAGUAGCUUUGUUGAUUAGAAUAAUCCAGUGAACUUUGUUAAGGAUUAUUAAGAAUGAUUCCAAGUUGGCUAAUUAAGGGGAAGAUCAUGAGUUUAUAAGUAAGGAAACAUAAUCUCCAUUGGUAUGAUGUCUUUUGGAAAAACUAAAAGCAAAGUCGCGAGAGGUUAUGUUUAAGGUAGACAACAUCAUACUAUCAUGAAAAACUUACCAUAACUCGUCGUGAACAGGAAUUUCUUGCAUUAUUGGUCAAGAAAUAAGCCUAAAAUUUUGGGUCUUUGCAUUCCUUUAAAGCUCUCUGUUCCCUGAAUAAGCCUAAAUGGAAGUCGGAACUCUGUUGAUAUUUGGUUCUGUAGCAUUUAUUUAUUUUUUUUGCCCAUGUUUGGCUAAUAGUUAUUACUUAGGUCAAUAAGAUCACUUAUAAUAAGGAAGUGUUUUUGUAGACAAUUUUUUAUUAAAUUUGGAGCUGGAUGAGUGGGAUAAGAAAAUUUAUUCUCGUUGAAGUGGUAAGUUUUUGGAAAUAUUGUUAUUUUUUAUAGAAAAAUUCAUUUUUUCUCUU